rnacentral:rRNA from 1 species
CUACGUGCCAGCAGCCGCGGUAAUACGUAGGGCGCGAGCGUUGUCCGGAAUUAUUGGGCGUAAAGAGCUCGUAGGCGGCUGGUCGCGUCUGUCGUGAAAUCCUCUGGCUUAACUGGGGGCUUGCGGUGGGUACGGGCCGGCUUGAGUGCGGUAGGGGAGACUGGAACUCCUGGUGUAGCGGUGGAAUGCGCAGAUAUCAGGAAGAACACCGGUGGCGAAGGCGGGUCUCUGGGCCGUUACUGACGCUGAGGAGCGAAAGCGUGGGGAGCGAACAGGAUUAGAUACCCUGGUAGUCCACGCCGUAAACGUUGGGCACUAGGUGUGGGGGGCCUUUUCCGGGUUUUCCGCGCCGUAGCUAACGCAUUAAGUGCCCCGCCUGGGGAGUACGGCCGCAAGGCUAAAACUCAAAGGAAUUGACGGGGGCCCGCACAAGCGGCGGAGCAUGCGGAUUAAUUCGAUGCAACGCGAAGAACCUUACCAAGGCUUGACAU